GGCUUGGCGCGCACUAAUGGCGGCGGUCUCUUCCCUGCCGCCCGCCCCGCUGCUUGUUGCCUCCUUAGGAGGCACGGAAAAUGCCAGGAGCUAGUUGUUAGUGCCUGGAGUCAGCUUGAGAUUGGGCCUCCCCUACCAACCAUUCCCCACCCAGGUAAAAGCAAUUUGGGAUUCUUUUGAAGACCUACUGAGUGGCGCUUCAGAGAUCCUGUGCUUUGGAGCCUAUCCUGGCACUCGCUCUGGAGACUAGGCUGGCCUGGAACUCACAGAGAUCUGCCUGCCUCUGCCUCCGAAGUGCCCGGACCCUGUC
rnacentral:lncRNA from 1 species